rnacentral:ncRNA from 1 species
UUUUUGGCUUUGGAAAAAUGUUUAGUUUUUUCUAUGUUUUACAUGAGAGUUUCAGCUUCCUCACGUUUUUAGAUUUCCUUAAAGGAGAAGAUGUUGUAGCUUCAGUAAGUAAUUUUAUUAUUUUAAAAAAUUUUAGAUUUAGGGAUAGAAAUAAGGAAAGGCUAAUUGUGUGCCAGCUGCUGCGGUUAUACAUGGUUUCCUAAUUAAACUUUUUGGAUAAAAUCAAGUUUGAGAAGAAUGUUAGAAAAGAAAAUUUGUUUUUCGGUAAAAUGAAAAUUUUUUUUUUUUUGUUUUCUGAAGGUUUAUUUAUUUCUUUAAAAUUUUAAUUUGAGACUGGGAUUAGAUACCCCAUUAUUUUAAAAUUGUAAUUUUUGUCCUGGGUAGUAUUAAUGUUAAAAACCUAAAAAGCUUGGCGGUUCUUUAUAUCCUUUUAGGGGAGCUUGUCCUGUAAUUGAUAAUCCUCGUUAUAUUUUUCUUUCUUUAAAUGUUUGUAUACUUCUGUCGUCAGCUUACUUUUUAGAAAAUAAUAGUUGGCUUAAAAGUUUUUGCUUUUACGUCAAGUCAAAGUGCAGCUUAUAAGGAAGAUGAGAUGAGCUACAGUUAUAUAUUUUUUUGGAAAGAAGUUGAAAUAUUUUUUUUAAAUUGGACUUAAUAGUAAAUUAUUUUAGAAAAGUUAAUUGAAUGGGGUUUGAAGUGUGCACAAAUCGCCCGUCGCUCUUUCUGAUAAGAAAGAUAAGUCGUAACAUAGUAGUAGUAAUGGAAAUUGUUGCUAGUUU